GCCAUUGCCGUUUAAUAUUUUUAUUUCAUGUCAUCAGCACCUCAACUAGUGUCCUAUCAAAAAAUGGUUUCAAUAAGAAAGGGCUACAGAGGUACAUGUAGAACAUUUAUUAUGUUACAAGCGUAUGAAAAUACAAAUGAAGCUGUGUCAUUAUUGUGUCACUAUCAUGUCACAGCAAACCAGUUACUACCUUUCCCAUCCUGCACUGUGGCCUACAAACAUGGCCUGCAAUUCCCAGAACACUCAUUCAUUCUAAAUCACACACAUCUGCAUCAAAUUCACAAGCAUUCACAACCACAGUAUAAAAAGACUGUUUUAACACAAUGACUUGGUGAAGUAUUGAGUGUUAUCACCAUACCAAGUGUUUGUACCCUGUUCCUCGUUUUGAUUCAUGGUCUUUGAUCUAGUUUCUGGUUUCUCAUUCUUGAUUCUCGCCUUGCCUCGUUUAUGCCUGUUUGUUUAUCGCCUGACCAUUGUCUUAUGAUUUGGAUUUGUCUGCCUGUCUCUUUUUAUUAAAAGCUCUUAUCUGCACUUGUAUCCAUCCUAACCUUCAUUAUGUGGAAUACGUGACAGAAUACUUUGCCUUACCAUGGAUGCAGCAGGAAGACGGAGGGGACAUCAUGUUAAGGAAACCAAGUGAACCAUCCCAGCUUUGGAUUCGAUCCAGUUUCCUCAGUGGACUUUUGUAGAUCUCCCAGAUCAGUAUGAUGGGUUUCAUGGCUACCCUCAAUAUUUUCUUGUUGACUGCCAGCUCUAUUUUUCAAGCCUAGUGGACCCCAAGCCUGGCAAAAUGCAAUGGCUAAGGUUCAUGUUGUCCCGUUUUAUUUGGCCCAGUCCGCCAGUGGGUUCAGUGUCUAGUAGCCAUGGGAUCCAGGGGACUGGAGAAUGUAACUCAGAUUGUGGGACUAUUCAUCAUGGUGUUCGGCAGUCCAGAAUCCAGGGCCAUCCUGGAGGAUCUUUUGGAGGAGGCCUGCCUCACAGAAACACUUGCUGUGCCGCUCACCACCUAUUAUGAAUAGGCAAAUUGGGUGAGCUCCUCCCCUAAGCUCCUUCCUGAGACCCACUAUGUGGUCUCCUCUGCCGAUCUCCAGACAAAGGUCAACGUGACGACGUGCUCCCCAAAACUCCAGCACGAGACCCACGAAGUAGUCUCACCUGCAGAGCUCCAGCAUGAGACCCACGAGGCAGUCUCAUUCCCAGAGCAAGUUCCUGUCUGAGGUCGAAGAGACGACCUCUCAAGCCCAUUUCCUGUGGAAGAGAUGACCUCUCAAGCCAAGUUCUUGUCUGAGGUUGAAGAGACGACCUCUCAAGCCAUGUUCCGGUCCAAAGUUGAAGAGACGACCUGCCAAGCCAAAUUCCUGUCUGAGGUCAAAGAGACAACCUCCCACACCAAGUUCCAACUAAAGGUCAACAAGGUGACCUUCCACGCCAAGUUCCAGUCUGAAAUCGACAAGGCUGUAGACAUGACCAACCAAGUUAUGCUCAUGCCUGAAACAGACAUCGUGACCAACCAGGAUUUGCUCCCGCCUGAAAUCAACGUCACGACCAACCAGGUUCUGCUCACGCCUGAGGCAAAUGUCACAAUGUUACGUUUUCUCCCUCCUUCCUUCCAGGACACAGGCCUGGACCUAAACGCAUGCUAUCAAUUAGAGCACCUUUCAGCAGAUCUGUCUCUGCUAGUUGAAGCCCUCACUGCUGACCCUGAUGUUUGUGGUCCCCCCCUUACGGUUCCGGAUAACACCUGCCACGGUUUCCGUGGCUGUUUCUACUCAAACAGAGACACCCUCUGGUUUUUUUCCUGGGAAUUCUUCUGAUGAGGACAUGGCUAUCUCUGGGGUUGACCAUGGCUUUAGCCCUGCUUCUGGUUCUCUCAGCCCCACACCAUAUUCACCCAGCAGCUCAGAGUAUUCUCAUGCCCCCCCCCCCCCUCUCUCCAUAUCCUAACAUUCCUUUAUCCUCCUACAAAUUAUUCUCCCACGAACCCUGUGACCUGAUCUAUGUUACCCUCCAUCUGCAAUAACCCCCCGUAUUUUCCCAGGCUUGUCUCCCUUGUGUUUUAAUUCGAUCUUAAUUUUCAUCCAACAUACACACAUAUGCAGGUGAGUCGCAGGUUAGACGGCUUAAAGGUAAUUCUGCCAUUUUCUGCUUCAUCAUUCAGCAUUCCAGCAUCAACAAACUUCCAAGUAGGAAAAAUGGCACCAAGUAUCCAAUAUUUCUGUGUGAUCCCCCUUGUGCAGCAAUAAGUGCAACUAAAUGUUUCCAGUGACUGUUGAUCAGUCCUGCACAUUGGCUUGGAGGAAUUUUAGCCCAUUCCUCAGUACAUUACAGCUUCAACUCUGGGAAGUUGGUGGGUUUCCUCA
ensembl:lncRNA